UACGGGGGGGGCAAGCGUUGUUCGGAAUUACUGGGCGUAAAGGGCUCGUAGGCGGCCAACUAAGUCAGACGUGAAAUCCCUCGGCUUAACCGGGGAACUGCAUCUGAUACUGGAUGGCUUGAGUUCGGGAGAGGGAUGCGGAAUUCCAGGUGUAGCGGUGAAAUGCGUAGAUAUCUGGAGGAACACCGGUGGCGAAGGCGGCAUCCUGGACCGACACUGACGCUGAGGAGCAAAAGCCAGGGGAGCAAACGGG
rnacentral:rRNA from 1 species